UAUGAUAAUUUCUUCAUGUCUUCUCCAGGGGCCAGGGGGGCCUCGCUUAUAUAGUCCUCCCCUUCUAUGCGUUUUUGGGUCGAUAGCCGAGGUGGUACUAUGUUUUUCUUGAUCCAAUAGGUCGGUGGAAUAUCCUGAGCGAAGGAGUCCUGAUUUGGCUCCAGCAGGGGGGCGGGCGCCCAGGCUUCCAGGGCGGGCGCCCUGGGCCUGGCCCAGCUUCGCCUCCGCUUCGGUCUCGUGGCUUUUGGAGUCUUCUAGAUGAUGUAAAAUUGCGCGGUGCGUUGAUAUCUCUAUGUAAUCCUGACAUGUGGGCCUUUCUUCCUUAUUUCCUGAUAACCCCCUGCAGAAAUAGAUAAACAACAAAACUCGUGGAAUUCUGUCAGAUCAAACCCUAAUUCUAGGUGAUGGUUGCAUAUUGGUCCUUUCUCAUGUUUAUUUGAUAAUUAAAAUUGAUACUUAAGAACCAUCAACAAAUACCCCCAUACUUAGGCUUUUACUCGUCCUCGAGAAAAGGAUGGUUAAGAAAAAUAUCUGGGGUAAACAUUUAAAACAUUCUCUUUAUAAUUGCAGGGUGUUAAAAUUCCACUGUGUACCAUAGUCAGGGAUGUAUAUGAUUAAGAGUAAAGAUCCUUUCUUCUCAAUCCUGUCACUUGGAGUUUUUGUAUAUUUUUGAAAGAAAAUUAGCAUACCUUUUUAUCCUCAUAGGUUCUCUUAGAUCACUCAUUAUCUUUUAUAUAUAUCUCACUGAGGCUGUUUUAAUUUUGCAAAAAAUUCUCAAGCAUACUUACUUUGCAUUUAUUGCCUGAUCAAAACGGGAUCCGAGGAGGGGAAUGUCAUACUCUUAGAUCAAAGACUUUGGAAAUUAAAAACUUUGUCAACUCUUGCUGGCAUAUUGCUUAUUAGAGGGACCAUGGGCUAUCAUUUUUUUCUCUUUUUUCUUUUUUUUUACUAAGUGGAUAUCGAGGUACCCCUAAUUCUACUGCCGGACACUUGUCCAUUUUUUUCUGCGAGGUUGUCGAGCACUUGCUCCUUUUUAUUUCCUCGAAAUAUCUCUAUUUUUGCAUAGCCCAUGCCUCUAAUGCAAUAAUACCUCGGAAGAGUGAAUCUUACUGAAAUAAUGUCUUGAUCUUGGGAGCAUGAUAAAUCUCUCAACAAGGGUCUAACUCAUUUUGAACAAACUCAAUACGGAGUAGAUAGCUUUAUAAUCAUAUUUAAUAUUUCAGUUUUAUCAGGCAUAUAAAACACUGAGGAUGGUAGCUAGGAAUUUGAAUAUUUUGGAAUAAAUUCUCCAAGCAACAAUGAUAUCAAGAAUAAGAAACUCAUACUCUACCAUCACAUAUUCCAUUUGACUUAAGUAACACAGGGUUUUAAAAUGAUUUUAUAAUAAUUGCAAGUUUUCAGGAAAUAUCACAGAUUGGGAUUAAUCAUGAUUAGAAAUAUUUUAAUCCUUUUAUUUUAUCAUGUUGGAAACAGUAAUAUGCAUAAUCCAAAAUAAAUAUAUGUGUAAAGUAAAUUGUGCAGAGUGUGUACCUGAGUGGUGGAGUGGUGUAGUCGGAGUGUGUUUGGCAUGUUGAGGGAUCUCCCCCAUACUUGUUUUCUGCUUUCUUGCACAAAAAUAAAGUAGAGACACACAAGACAUAAUAAUAAUAGUAAUACUCUUUAUUGAUCUUGAGGCAUUUAUUACAAAAGACUGAUAACAAACUGAUAGCAAACUGAUAAUAAUAAUAAACUGAUGCUAAUAGUAAACCUAACCGAAUUUAAAGAUAAAUGACUAAGAUGCAUUGCCUCAAGGUCUAAUCUAGAUAACUUAGCGGCGCUCUAAUUCCUUGAUCUUCUUGUUGGCACUGGCAAGAUCCUGCCUAAGGCCUAGUAUAAUGGUGUUGUGGUUAGAGAGCUGCCUAGUGAGGGAAUUAAUCGAGGACUGGAGGUCUAUGAUAAUUCUAUCUAGCCUGCGAACUUCCUCAUCAAUAUCCAUUAUAGUCUUGCGACGCUUGGGAGGUGUCUCAAAAGCAUUGAGAGAGUGCUUCGGGGCUGCCUUUGGAGGGAUGAAACGGACUUUGGCUGCUCUAAUCCCUUCGAAGUAAGGCCCCUCCUCCUCCGUAGUGUAGCGUACGCUGCUGAUCUCGCCGCUUCGGUUGGUCUUGACUCCAACGACCGUUUCAUUGGGUCUAGGUGGAAGGACCCUUGUGCCGAUUGGCACCUUGAUAGUGGUCUUCGUCUUGGAUGAUGAUCCU
rnacentral:lncRNA from 1 species